UACGUAGGUGGCAAGCGUUGUCCGGAAUUAUUGGGCGUAAAGCGCGCGCAGGCGGUCCUUUAAGUCUGAUGUGAAAGCCCACGGCUCAACCGUGGAAGGUCAUUGGAAACUGGGGGACUUGAGUACAGAAGAGGAAAGCGGAAUUCCCAGUGUAGCGGUGAAAUGCGUAGAUAUUGGGAGGAACACCAGUGGCGAAGGCGGCUCACUGGACCGGUACUGACGCUGAUGCGCGAAAGCGUGGGGAGCAAACGGG
rnacentral:rRNA from 1 species